CUAGCGCUGGUCCUUUGUCCCCGAUUUCUCACAGGCUGCUGCCGCCCCGUACGUCCAGCCACGGUGUGCCCUUGCCUUGCACCCGCGCCAGCGGAAUCCUGGGAUGCAUUCGGGAGAGCACUGCCAGCAGGUCGAUGAGGUGAUCCUGCCCCUGCACUCAGCCCUAGUGGGGCCGUGUCUGAACUGCUGUAUUCAACUCUGAGCUCCAGAGCUCAAGAAAAACACGGAGGUACUGGAAGGGGUGCAGAGGAGGCCACAAAGGGAAGAAACCUCUGAAGUACUUCAUGAGCCUGUACCUGGUUUAGGCUUGCUCCCGGUGGAGCUUAGGGUCUGACCACCUGCCAUGUGCGGUCCAACGCAAUUAACUGGCGUUAUCUCCCUACCUGAGAGAUUCAGGAACUGUCCGGCUGCAAUUCUGUGCCAUGUCCUCUAGGGUCGCCCUGCUUGAGCAGGGAGAUUGGACCAGAUAUCCUUCGCGCCUGACCCAUUCUGUGAUUCUAAGUGAUUCUUUCUGCACAGCUCCCUGAAAUGGUGGCUUCGAAAGCAAGUCUGCCACCUGUGAUGUUCUGUACCCAAAGACUUCUCUUGGAAAGGAAGAUUACAUCUCUGCUCUGGUGUAACCAGCAGGAACAUCACCUCAGUGCUUGACCUUUCCUAGAAAAGCAGAUAGGGGCUUGAUGCUGUAAAUAUUCAGCACAAAAAUGCUCUUGUUUUGUUCUUAAAACUAGAAAUGAGUAUGACUCCCAUAUGGCUGGUCUGUUCUGCUUGUCUCCUUUCUGCAUUAAUAAAUGCUUGUAAUUUCCAUCA